rnacentral:rRNA from 1 species
UGGCUCAGAACGAACGCUGGCGGCAUGCCUAACACAUGCAAGUCGAACGAAGCCUUCGGGCUUAGUGGCGCACGGGUGCGUAACGCGUGGGAACCUGCCUUUAGGUUCGGAAUAACUCAGAGAAAUUUGAGCUAAUACCGGAUAAUGUCUUCGGACCAAAGAUUUAUCGCCUUUAGAUGGGCCCGCGUUAGAUUAGAUAGUUGGUGGGGUAAUGGCCUACCAAGUCGACGAUCUAUAGCUGGUCUGAGAGGAUGAUCAGCCACACUGGGACUGAGACACGGCCCAGACUCCUACGGGAGGCAGCAGUGGGGAAUAUUGGACAAUGGGCGAAAGCCUGAUCCAGCAAUGCCGCGUGAGUGAUGAAGGCCUUAGGGUUGUAAAGCUCUUUUACCAGGGAUGAUAAUGACAGUACCUGGAGAAUAAGCUCCGGCUAACUCCGUGCCAGCAGCCGCGGUAAUACGGAGGGAGCUAGCGUUGUUCGGAAUUACUGGGCGUAAAGCGCGCGUAGGCGGCUUUUUAAGUCAGGGGUGAAAUCCCGGGGCUCAACCCCGGAACUGCCCUUGAAACUGGAUGGCUAGAAUACUGGAGAGGUGAGUGGAAUUCCGAGUGUAGAGGUGAAAUUCGUAGAUAUUCGGAAGAACACCAGUGGCGAAGUGCGACUCACUGGACAGUUAUGACGCU